UACGUAGGGUGCAAGCGUUGUCCGGAAUUAUUGGGCGUAAAGAGCUCGUAGGCGGUCUGUCGCGUCGGCUGUGAAAAACCUGGGGCUCAACCCCAGGCCUGCAGUCGAUACGGGCAGACUAGAGUCCGGCAGGGGAGACUGGAAUUCCUGGUGUAGCGGUGAAAUGCGCAGAUAUCAGGAGGAACACCGGUGGCGAAGGCGGGUCUCUGGGCCGAAAUUGACGCUGAGGAGCGAAAGCGUGGGGAGCAAACAGG
rnacentral:rRNA from 1 species